AGAACGAACGCUGGCGGCGUGCCUAACACAUGCAAGUCCAACGUGAAAGGGGAGCAAUCCCCCGGUAGGGUGGCAAACGGGUGAGUAAUACAUGGGUGAUCUACCUUAGGGAUGGGGAUAUCCUUCCGAAAGGAGGGGCAAUACCGAAUAUUGUCCGGGACCGUGAAGGGUUUACGGGGUAAAGGGAGGCCUCUGACACAAGCUUUCGUCCUUAAGUAUGAGCCCACUGGCCCACUCAGCUAGUUGGUAGGGUAAAGGACGUACCCAAGGACGACGAUCGGUAGGCUGGUCGUGAGAGGAUGAUCAGCCACACUGGGACGUGAGACACGGCCCGACGACUCCUACCGGAGGGCAGC
rnacentral:rRNA from 1 species